rnacentral:rRNA from 1 species
UAAYGACUCUCGGCAACGGAUAUCUCGGCUCUCGCAUCGAUGAAGAACGCAGCAAAAUGCGAUACUUGGUGUGAAUUGCAGAAUCCCGUGAAUCAUCGAGUUUUUGAACGCAAGUUGCGCCCGAAGCCUUUCGGCCGAGGGCACGUYUGCCUGGGUGUCACAC